CACCGCUUCACCACCACUUCACAAAGCGUUCACUAACUGUUUUUUAUUUGAACAUCAGUCUAGCCUUUUCGCUUCAAAGAUUUUAUUCUCGCGUCGUUGUGUCUCCACCGCCAAGCUCCAGAGAUCAAUUUCAGAGUGUUUACAGAGGCGAAACACCAAGGGUGAGGCUUUGUAUUUCUUUGCUUGGCAUUGUGAACUGGUAGUUUAGGAUUUGUAUUUCUUUUUGGAAGUGGUGGUGGAAAAGUUUUGAUACGGUGGAAAGAGAAAAGCAAGGCAGCAAGGGAGGCAUUUUAUGUGAUGGGUUUUGCUGCGUUUGGAGGAAGAGAAUGUACUGCACAGGUUGUCAUAUCGGAAUUCGGCCGUUCAUGAACGACCCCAUGUUCCAAUAUUUAAAACCCCAGCAGCCGUGUUGCAUUAAGACGUCGGCCGUUCAUGAACGACCAUGUUAGUCUUAAUCCAAGAGGAGAUUGCUCGGCCGUUCUUGAACGACCAUGGUUGUCUCAAAAGGGUGUUGGUUGUUCAUGAACAGCCCCCUUUUGCCUUGAAGAAAAACUGUUAAUUCCCUGCCGAAACAAGCAAGAGCAGCAUGAUGCAGUGUAUACCUGAACUUCUCCCUUCGAGCUGCUUCGAUUUCGCUCUCUGUUUUGGCAGAGUCUUGGCUUCUUGUUUUCUGAAUAUUUUUCUCCUCUCUCUCUCCGUCUGUCUUUCUUUUCACGUUAUUGUCCUUUUAUAAUAGUAUAGCUGCUCCUCAGAUAACUUUGCUUUCCGCAGGACUAGUAACUUUGAAAUUUGAAUGACAAACUUUGAAUUUUGGAUAACAAGCUUAUCUUGUAUUUUGACCAGCAACAAUCUCGAGUUUGCUUCACGUUUGAAGUCUUUUUCAAAGCUAAUAGACUUUGAGUA